GUCGGUGUAGCUUAGCCUGGUCUAAAGCAACGGUCUCCAAAACCGUGAUCGUAGGUUCAAAUCCUACCACCUUCG
rnacentral:tRNA from 1 species